rnacentral:rRNA from 1 species
AUGCUAACUUGUGGGUUCAGAUCCUUAUUAUCAGAUCAUGUCACUCUUCCGACUCCAAAACCGAUGAGCUCUCAAAAACGACUCAUGAUUCUUUUUCAGUGUCAAUCAAUGGUUUCCUUAAUUGCAAGACAGCGACUCCCCAUGUUAUCGAUCUGGUACAGUGUUAUUGUGCGUGAGGACGACACAGGGAAAGGUGCAACAAGGCAGCGCUCGCGUUGCAGUGGACUGGAGUCCGCCAUCACCACCGACCGCUGCUCGCCGAUCGUCGUCCCUCAUCCCCCAUCUAGAUGUUUGCGGAUCAGGCGAAGAAGAGAGGAAUGA